AUGUCUGAGAACUGUCAUUUUGCUCCGGUUUCUCAUUUCACAUCUCCUCGUAUUUUCUUCAAUUUCAAUCUCGAUCCAGGUUCCGCAUCUCUUCAGACUUCAGAUGAUCCAACUCUCAUCACUGAUGAGUAUUUACUUCAUUUUUUUUCUCUAUUUGUUCUUAGAUUUCAGUUCUAUCUUCUCUUUAGAGUGGAUUUAUUCAUAAUUAUCUACUAUGUAGAUUUUUGUUAG